rnacentral:rRNA from 1 species
UGGGGAAUAUUGCGCAAUGGGGGGAACCCUGACGCAGCCAUGCCGCGUGAAUGAAGAAGGCCUUCGGGUUGUAAAGUUCUUUCGGUAUUGAGGAAGGUUGAUGUGUUAAUAGUACAUCAAAUUGACGUUAAAUACAGAAGAAGCACCGGCUAACCCCGUGCCAGCAGCCGCGGUAAUACGGAGGGUGCGAGCGUUAAUCGGAAUAACUGGGCGUAAAGGGCACGCAGGCGGUUAUUUAAGUGAGGUGUGAAAGCCCUGGGCUUAACCUAGGAAUUGCAUUUCAGACUGGGUAACUAGAGUACUUUAGGGAGGGGUAGAAUUCCACGUGUAGCGGUGAAAUGCGUAGAGAUGUGGAGGAAUACCGAAGGCGAAGGCAGCCCCUUGGGAAUGUACUGACGCUCAUGUGCGAAAGCGUGGGGAGCAAACAGGAUUAGAUACCCUGGUAGUCCACGCUGUAAACGCUGUCGAUUUGGGGGUUGGGGUUUAACUCUGGCGCCCGUAGCUAACGUGAUAAAUCGACCGCCUGGGGAGUACGGCCGCAAGGUUA